AUUUCCGGUUGAUCCUGCCGGUGCUGCCGCCCAUGCCCCAGUUUGACGGGCUUUCCCUGCAGAGCUGGAUUGUGGUUGCCCAGCAGGUACUGAUCGGCUCCCUGCUGGGCUUUGCCGCCAAUAUCCUGUUGCAGAGCUUUGUACUGGGUGGUCAGAUCAUGGCGAUGCAGAUGGGACUGGGCUUUGCCUCCAUGACGGACCCGGCCAACGGGGUGAAUACGGUGAUCCUGUCUCAGAUCUAUCUGAUGCUGGUCAUGCUGCUGUUUCUUGGCAUGAAUGGUCACCUGGUGCUGAUCGAAAUCAUGGUAAAGAGUUUCAGCGUAAUCCCCAUCGGCAUGGAAGGUGUCAAUAAAAUGACGCUUUGGGAGCUGGCCAAUUGGGGCAGCUGGCUGUUCAUGGCGGCCCUGCUGAUGGCGCUGCCGGCGGUCACGGCACUGCUGGUGAUCAACUUUGCCUUUGGUAUCAUGACCAAGGCGGCGCCUCAGCUCAAUAUCUUCGCCAUCGGCUUCCCGUUUACCAUGCUGAUGGGCGUUUUUAUUGUCUGGGUCAGCCUGUCCGGGUUUUUCAGUCACUAUCAGGCCUUUGCAGCAGACGCGCUGGAAAAUGUCAGUCAGCUGCUGAAGGCGGGGCGCUGACGACAUGGCGGAAGAAACAGGCCAGGAAAAAACGGAACAGCCAACGGAGAAGCGGAUCCGGGACGCGCGGCAAAAGGGGGACAUACCGCGCUCGCGGGAGCUGUCCGCCAUGGCCCUGCUGCUGGCAGCGGCGGCCUCGGCCAUGCUGUUCGGGCAGAAUGUGGCUGCCACCCUGGGGGCGAUCAUGCGGGAGAGUUUCAGCCUUGAUCGGCGUGAUGCCUUUGAUACCGCUCGCAUGUUUGCUCAUCUGGGGGAUGCUCUUUACGAAGGUUUCUUCAGCCUCUGGGGGUUUUACCUGCUUACCCUGCUGGCUGCCCUGUUGAGUCCCAUUGCGCUGGGAGGGUGGAACUUCAGUGGCCAGGCGCUGCAGCCCAAGGGAAGCCGCAUCAACCCGCUCAGCGGGCUCAAGCGGAUGUUCUCCCUCAAGGCACUGGUGGAGCUGUUCAAGGGGCUGGCCAAAUUCCUGCUGGUGGGCUCUUUCGCUAUCCUGGUGCUCUGGCAGGAUCAACCGGAAAU
rnacentral:rRNA from 1 species